UAAUGACCAUAAGAGUAACGAUUGAAAGUAUACCAUUAAAUAGCUUUCAUAAAGCUGGUGUAUGGCUGCAUCAGAAGGAAGAUCAUUGCUUUCUUCAUUUAAAGGAUGGUGCUUAUUGAAUUUUGAAAACGAUUUGAACAGCAAGUCAGAACAAGAUGAAGCUGACUUUGCUCUAAUAUGUAACAACUGUAAUACUAAACGUAUUGUUAAAUCAUUAGUUAUUACAAGAAGAAGAAUUCAUGUGCAUACGCUUUUCGUUUUGUUCAACACCUUCGUUGAUUAAACGUUGGGCACGAUUUAUUCCCGUAAUAUAAUCCCUUGACCAGAACGAAUUUGAAAAGCCGUCCCACAUAUCUUUUUGAUAAAAAUGUCUGAUGUACAAUACACUUAAGUAUAUCUAUGUACUUCUGUUGAGUGCCAGCUAAUUAAUAGAUUAAAGGUAGUUACAAAAGAGUUCUCUUUUAAUCUAAAAACGUUAGUUUAAAAAAUAUUACAGAUAAAUCAGUAAAUUGACAUUGAGGAUUAGAAUUCUCCUACAACUCCAAAUAAUCCAAGAAGGACUGAAGGAAAAACUUCUUCAAAAAAU